UUAGUGGGGAGCUGGAUCAAAAGUGGAGCAGUUGGGACUGGAACCGGCGCCCCUCGUGGGAUGCCUGCGCCAUGGAGGCGGCUUGACCUGCUGCACCACAACACCGGCCGCUGUGAUACGUUCUGAAAUCAGGAAGUGUGAUGCCUCCAUCAGAAAAGGAAGAGAUUCUGCCAUGGGUGACAGCGUGGAUCGACUUCAGGACACAGUGCUGAGACAAGCCGGGCACGGAAGGACAAAUCCUCGUGGGCUCACUCACACCUGGACGAUCCAGCUCUCUGCUAUGGCCUGGGAAAGCAGUAGAGGAUGGCCCAGGUGCUUGAGCCCCUGCACCCACGUGGGAGACCUGGAAGAAGCUCCUGGCUCCUGGCUUCGGAUUGGCGCAGCUACGGCCGUUGCAGCCAAUUGGGGAGUGAACCAGCAGAUGGAAGACCUUUGUCUUUGUAACUCUGCCUCUCAAAUAAAUAAAUGAAAUUUUUAAAAAAAAAGGGUGGGGGGAACCCAUACAGGCAGAGUCUAGAAUGGAGGUGUUGGGCUGGGGGCGGGGCUCUAUAGGUCAGCCCAGAGAGACGCAUUCUAGAGCCUGCUGGACAGCACCUCCCCCAUGGACACCAACCCCGUGUUCACGGCACGUCUCGAGUCUGUCAGAAGGAUAGUCCAAAGGCUGAGUGCCCUUCUCACAGCAGAAUUAAAACCAAAACUGAAGGAGCCGUGACCCACGGGGGUGCUGGGAGGGAGGGUCGCUCGCUCCCCUUCUGUCCAGUGGGGCUCAGGGCUGCCUCCCCCUGCCCGGGAGGCUCCUCCCAGCCCAGGGGGCCACAGCAGGGGCAGCUCCUCCUGGAGCAGAUUCUGGGGAAGCCCCCUGGUGGAGUGGGAGGGGACUUGGACAAAGCCCCCUUGUCUUUCCAGAUGGUUCCACUUAGGAUGUGGUUUCACUGGCAUCCGGAGUAAUUGACAGAUGCACUCGGGACCCCUUGUCCGAAAGCUCAGGUCCCAGGGAAGCCCGCGGCGGCGGCCGUGGAGCCCCGCAGCUGGCCAGGGCGCUCAGGUUCAACAGGGACUCCUGCCGCCAGCGCCCACGGAGGGUCUGACUCCGUGGCCCCUAGAACGCUGUGAACAACGGUCUCCGUCUUCGCCGACGGCACAAACCCCGCAGCUGCAGAGCUCGUAGGGCCGCACUCCGUGCUCCCCUGGAGACUUGGAGAAGUUAGGUUUUUUGCAAAACAUCGGUGCCUGCCCCCGACGUGCACUCCCUGCGUUUACAGGAUCCAUGAGAGCCUGAGCGCACCCCAGGGCCGGGGACUGCAUCUGGCUGCCGGCGGCUCCACCUGCAUUCCGCUGAGCUAGCACGGGGCGUCCUUAGAGCACACGUGUUCGUGGUGCAGGAAGUCUCAGUGCGCCAGUGCUUUGUUUACCCACGGGGCCACCGGGGCCACGGGAGAGCGAGGAAGGUGAGCCGGCCACCGGCGUCACCCGCGGGCGCCCAGGUCUAAUCUUUUACUUUAAUUCCGUAUAUUUAUAAAAAAUAGCUUCUAAUACUGCAAGAGGCAGCUGAUGUGACUAGCUAGGCACAGGGAAACUGAUCAUAAGAGCUGUGUAGAACCAAGGCACGGUCCCCCAUAGCCAGCCGGCAGGAGCUGGCUGGGGCCGUGGGUACCACGGGGACUGCGUCAGGCCGCCUCAGCGCUCCCAGCCCCCACGCAGCCCCCUCCAGAGACCACGCCUGUAGCUGGGCCGCCUGGUUCCAAGGGGCCUGGGGUCACGCCUGUGGACCGGGUGGGGAGCACAGACCCCACUCCCCUCAACUCAAGGAGCUCAAACUGCAGAGUUGGGUGAACCACCCCUCCCCACCACCACCAAAGAUCCCAGCAUCAUGUGGGACCCAGGAGGAAGUGGCUUCUGUGGGAAGGGUGUUGUGGGAGUGGGCGGGGUGGGGGCUGGAACUGCGGGGUCCCCGGCCACAUCAGCAGCAGCUGUCACAACCUGACCAAAAGCACGCGCGAACACCAGGGAGGGCGAACAGUCCGUGCUGGGGACGGCGCUGGGUGUUUGUUUUGGUCGUAUUGUUUAUCCAACGUUCCUUAAAAUGUCCCUCCAAAAAUUCACUGUGAAUAAGGAGGACACUGACUUAGCAGUGCCGUUGAGUUCUGAGACGGCAGCCGCACUGGCUGUGUCCUGCAUGCACUGCUCACGGUGGCUCAGGAGACCCCCUCCCCCCCGCCCCGGACAGGUCCUCUCAUCCAUCUUGGAGAGGAGGAGGCGACUGGCCAAGGCCACACCACUACCCCUGGCCAAGGUCAGUGCUAAAGCCGGUGGACCCUGGACGAGGGGCUCCCGAGCCUUCUCUGUGCUCGAGAGCUGUCUCCAUGGCUACUGCUCUCUGUAUCCGAGUCCCUUAGAAUAACUUAGCAACCAGAGUUAGAGAGCUCAACCAGAGUUAGAGAGCUCAGUCACAGUUCUUUGACUGCUUAAUUUGGAUGCCUCUUAUUCGAGAUACAAAGAUGUGUUACGUGGGACCAGCGUUGUGGCGUAGUGGUUUGAAUCACUGCCUGCAAAGCUGGCGUCCCAUAUGGGCGCCAGUUCGACUACCAGCUGCUCCACUUCCUUGCUAAUGUGCCUGGAAAAGCAGGGGAGGAUGGGCCAAGUCCUUGGGCCCCUGCACCCACGUGGGAGACCUGGCGAACGCUCCUGGCUCCUGGCUGCAGAUCGCCCAACUCCAGCCAUUGUGGCCAUUUGGGGAGUGAACCAGCGGAUAGAAGACCUCUGUCUCUUUCUCUCCGCAUCUCUAUAAGUCUGCCUUUCGGAUAAAAUAAGUAAAUCUUGAAAAUAUAUUUUAUUUUACCUUUGAAAGCCGUAGUGCAAUUACACCUCCAUGCACUGUGCCGGGGGUCCUGCACACCGGAGCUCCGAGACCACUGCCAGGGCCCCCAGGCAGCUGCAGCCAAGUCAGCUGUGAGACGGGAGGUCGGGGCUGUGAAACCUGGGCUGCAGCAGCACCCGGGGGGCUGGGCCUGAGCGGGAGGCCAGAGUGCUCCGCCGGGCGUGUCCGCGGUCUGGGCCAAGUUCCCGGGCGCCCAGGCCAGGGGCUGCAGGGGGUGGCGGUCCGUGCGCACCCACAGGUGAUUUGAAUCAAGUUCAAGGAGCUGCAGAACUUCAGGAGCCACAGCCACUCUUGGCCGGGAGCAGCCUGGGUGUGGGUGAGGGGUGGGAGCCGCCCACAGGGGCUGCCGGCCUGCGUCCCUACCCGCUGCAGAGUCCUGCGCCGUCUCGACGUCAAGACGUAGAGCGCCGUGAAACCCCCGGCAGACCCCCCCACCUGCGCCCUGAUUGUGGCUCCAGCCCCAGCCCGUGGUUCACGGCUGAUGGGGGCAGCCCUGGACACACAGAAAUCAUGGAGAAGGGACUUAAAUCCCCCGGUCACUUCACCACAGAGGGGCGGCCCCUUCCAAGUGCUGGGCCGUGCUGCCUCCUCAGCUGAUCCUUCUCUCUCGUCACCCUUCACGGGAACGCGCCCAGCUGUUACUUUAGACAAGUCCUCAAAUUCUAAAACCCAGACUGGCCUUCCUGUUAGGGUCUAAAAAAAAAAGCCCACCGCCCGAGGAACGACUCCAAGAGACUUUUUCUCUCAUGCAACCAGCAAAGGGUUAAAUUUAUUGAUCCAACAUGUUGGGGCCCUCUGACAAGGACAGAGGAGCAGUGAGGAACUACAGCAUAGGGUUUAUAAAGGCAAAAACCGCAAAAUCGGGAGGAGGGAGAGAAUACACGGUUGCUAAAAUCUUACAAUCAGCAAUUAUGAUUUUAAGACACAGACAAAUCACAUCUUCAUUAUUAGCCCAGGUAACCCAGGUGCAACCUUUCUACUUUUAAGCUUGAGCAAUCAUGCUAGGGGGUUUUUGUGCGUUGCCAAGGGUGGUGUAGUGCACUGCUAUUGUCCGACUAUUUGAGAUCAUAGUUUCAGACCAGAGUCUCACGGUGGGGGGGUGCAUUCCCAGAAUGGAGUCUCAAGUGCUCCAAAAUGGAGUCCCUACUGUCAAGGUGCUACUUUACUCUGUCUUAUUUUCACAGCUGCACCAGGAAGGUUUUUAAACCUGUAAGCUUAAGCUUAACUUUUGACACCCAUACAUAUACAAUUUUAACUCUUCAUUCCCCACUCCUUGUUGUGAGGAUCUCUAAUCUUAGAGAUUAUUCGUUUUUGUCUCUUUUAAUGUGACAUAUUGUUGUCUUACAACCAUGAGUUUAACAUUUUUAACUUGUUCCCACAUGAAGGUGAUGAGUCUAUUUUACACAUAAGGUCCUAUGGUUACAAUUAGGAGUAGAACAAUUAAGGGUCCUGUUAGGGCUGACAGUAGAGUAGUAAGCCAUGGGGACCGGCCGAACUAUGACUCAAACCAUCCCUGUUGAGUUUCCCUCUCCCGUUGCCGUUUUUUCAGUCAUUUUUUUGAGUUUAGCCAUGGAGUUUCUAACCACCUCAGUUUAGUUGACAUAAAAACAACAUUUUUUUUUUUUUUUUUUUUUUAGGGCCGCGCAUAACCCACCCCCAUGAAAAUGAGAUUUAACCCCCCCGCCUGUUCUGUAAUACUGAAAUGCAGAUACUGGGCUGCAUCUGGGAGAUUGUGGAAGAUUUGUCAGGCAGAAGGGGCAGGGACCCCCACCUGGCAGGUUAUCAGGUAGAAGCGGGCAGGGCAGGAUGCAAAGGCCAGGCUGCCCGUGAAACAUUGUCAGGAUGACUGAGAUGCAGAUGCAUAUGCUGGACACAUUAGGCCUUUAUGUCACACACACAUAAGCUCAUAACUGACUUUCUGCCUAAUAUUUUCCCCUCAAGAGGUAAUACCCAAAAUUCUUCUUUGGGAUUAUGGAUGGAGUUCCGUUUUCUGUAACUUCUUCGAAGCUGGCAUGUGGGCGUCGAGGGGGAUUUGGGUAUUUCCUCUUGCUACCUGUCUUAUGGUG